rnacentral:sRNA from 1 species
AUGGAUGUCCCAAAAAAGAGAGGACGUCCUCAAAGCUUAACAGAUUCAACUCGUAAGAAGAAAAGGCUCCAAGCUAACCAGACUCACGCGAAAAGUAGGAUUUUUAUUGGUGAAUAUAUUGAAGACUGGAACAGUUUGCGUGACUUGCUUGGAUUGAAAUCGAACCCCGAACUUGCGGGAUUUCUCCUCAACUCUCACUAUGAGUCCCAGAAACGCCUUUCAAGGCAAAGAAUACUUUCUUCAACUCCUGCUAGGCCUCAUCCUCUGCCAAGGAUAUCAGAGUUGAUACUAUCAGAAAUUUCGUCAACGGAUUCUAAAGGAAAUGGCAGUUUGAGUAUUAGCAUUACGAAAGAAUCUGAAGAAGAAAAAGGAAGUGUUGAUGAUGAUAGUAAUGAUGAUUUUGAUGUAGAAGAAUAUGAAGUGACUUUAGGUGAAGAUGAAACUAUUGACAUCGAAGAUGUAGCUGGAGGUGACUUGGUCUUUGGAGGUGAUGAAGUUAUAGAGACGGAGGAUGAACCACCAGAAUACUUCACUGGCCCAGGUAUCACCCAGGUGUUGUCGAUGGAGGAAUCAGAUGCUGUACUUGCAUGUACAUUGAUCGCAUAUGAGAAACAGUUGCUGCUUUUAGCAAAAACAAAGAUUGAUGAGCGCUGCUUGGUUAAAGGGUGUCCAGAGCUUGUAGAGAUUUCAACAAACUUUCGGGCAGAGCUUGAGGAUAAAGACGUAGUUCUUCUUGGGGAUGGACAUAUCGAUCAUAGGACUUAUUCCAAGAAGACUGGGAGGUGGACUGUAGUCCAGAGGAAAACUCAGAAGACCUUCAGCCAUGUCUCGGAUAUCAUGAGGAAGAUUCUCCAAAGUCUCUUGGAGUCGGUGGGAGGCAUGCACCAGGCAGCUGAACUUGCAUAA